AACGAACGCUGGCGGCAUGCCUAACACAUGCAAGUCGAACGAGACCUUCGGGUCUAGUGGCGCACGGGUGCGUAACGCGUGGGAACCUGCCCUUAGGUUCGGAAUAACUCCCCGAAAGGGGUGCUAAUACCGGAUAAUGUCUUCGGACCAAAGAUUUAUCGCCUUUGGAUGGGCCCGCGUUGGAUUAGCUAGUUGGUAGGGUAAAAGCAUACCAAGGCGACGAUCCAUAGCUGGUCUGAGAGGAUGAUCAGCCACACUGGGACUGAGACACGGCCCAGACUCCUACGGGAGGCAGCAGUGGGGAAUAUUGGACAAUGGGCGAAAGCCUGAUACAGCAAUGCCGCGUGAGUGAUGAAGGCCUUAGGGUUGUAAAGCUCUUUUACCCGGGAUGAUAAUGACAGUACCGGGAGAAUAAGCUCCGGCUAACUCCGUG
rnacentral:rRNA from 1 species